GAUGAACGCUGGCGGCGUGCCUAAUACAUGCAAGUCGAGCGAACAGAUGAUGAGCUUGCUCCUCUGACGUUAGCGGCGGACGGGUGAGUAACACGUGGAUAACCUACCUAUAAUACUGGGAUAACUUCGGGAAACCGGAGCUAAUACCGGAUAAUAUAUUGAACCGCAUGGUUCAAUAGUGAAAGACGGUUUUGCUGUCACUUAUAGAUGGAUCCGCGCCGCAUUAGCUAGUUGGUAAGGUAACGGCUUACCAAGGCAACGAUGCGUAGCCGACCUGAGAGGGUGAUCGGCCACACUGGAACUGAGACACGGUCCAGACUCCUACGGGAGGCAGCAGUAGGGAAUCUUCCGCAAUGGGCGAAAGCUUGACGGAGCAACGCCGCGUGAGUGAUGAAGGUCUUCGGAUCGUAAAACUCUGUUAUUAGGGAAGAACAAAUGUGUAAGUAACUAUGCACGUCUUGACGGUACCUAAUCAGAAAGCCACGGCUAACUACGUG
rnacentral:rRNA from 1 species